ACAGUCACAUCAUGUUGAAAAUAGUUCCCGUACGAUCACCGAAGUUAAGCAACAUUAAGCCUGUCAGUACCUAGACGGGUGACCGGUUGGGAAUACCAGGUGCUGUAA